rnacentral:misc_RNA from 1 species
AGAACCAUACAGUAUAAGCCAUGCUUUGAUUGCUUCUAAUCUGUCUGGAUCGCUUCUUUGUUUCUUAUGCGAACGAAUGCGUAUUAACAAUUUUCCAACAUUUCUAUAUUAUGUACUUAUAAUGACAUAAAGCCUUUAUUCCUUCUCAAGGUCAUUCCAAAAAGGCUGAUGUGACGUGUUUAAGAACAACAUUCGAUUGGAAGUUGUGCUUUUUUUAAAUUUCCAUAUUAAGUGCAAUUCGUUGUUGAACAGUACGCGUAUUCGCUUGUGUUUUUUUAUUUGCUUGUGAUUACUUCAAAACCAAAACGCAUUCCGGUAUAUAACAAUGUAGUAACUGUUGUCAUACGCUGUGAUAAAUCAGGAAUAUUAAUUAUUGAUUAUAUUAUAGACGGUAAAGUCGUGAGUAAUUUAUAUGUUUGGAUCUUGACAAAUAUCACCUAGAUCUUCUGUAAUAAGUUUUCUAGUAUAUGUACGCUAUUGCUAUCAGCCUAUCAGCGAUCAUUGAAAAAGACACAAAUAAACUUUAUGCAUAAUAUAACAUGUAAGUUUGUUACGAAGGGUAAAUUAUAUUACAAUUUAUAAUUGUGCUUUAAUAAAAUUUAAAGAAAACAAUUACAGCUUAUUUAAUAUAGUUAUUGUGUACACGCAAGAGUUGUGUCGACUAUCUCAUGCUUUAUAUUAUUGUAUUGUUUGUUAUAUUGAAUUUGAAUUUUCAAACUAUUAAAAAUAAAUGCAAGAUGAAAUU